AUUGAACGCUGGCGGCAGGCUUAACACAUGCAAGUCGAGCGAGCGGCGGACGGGUGAGUAAUGUCUGGGAAACUGCCUGAUGGAGGGGGAUCACUACUGGAAGCGGUCGCUAAUAACGCAUACCAUCAGAUGUUCCCAGAGUGGAUUAGCUAGUAGGUGGGGUAAUGGCUCACCUAGGCGGAGAGCCCUAGCUGGUCUGAGAGGAUGACCAGCCACACUGGAACGGAGACACGGUCCAGACUCCUACGGGAGGCAGCAGUGGGGAAUAUUGCACAAUGGGCGCAAGCCUGAUGCAGCCAUGCCGCGUGUGUGAAGAAGGCCUUCGGGUUGUAAAGCACUUUCAGCGAGGAGGCGUUACUCGCAGAAGAAGCACCGGCUAACUCCGUGCCAGCAGCCGCGGUAAUUC
rnacentral:rRNA from 1 species